CAGGAAUCUAAGAACAGCAGAACGUUAGUGCUGACACUGGACAUGGGAAGCAGCCCUAGUGAGUUUAGGAGUUGGGCCAUCUGGCCCCAGCACCACGUCUUCCUCAUUCUGUGACCUUGGGAAAAUACACAACCUUGUUAGAGAAUACAGUCUUCACUUCUUGUCCCGGAGGAAACUUAGACAUUGGAGGAAGGCGCUCAGGACUCAGGGGUCAUGAACAGACAGGUGCAAUGGGGAGAGAGAGCUACACUCAAGAGAAGGCUCGGGUUACCUAUUGACAUUUGAAACAAAAAAGAAGAUCCAAUCUAAAGGCUCUGGUCUAAAUCCCUGACUAAUUUUUACUCUGGAAAAAUCACUUCCCCUGUCUGAGCUCAAUUCUUUGCUAAAACCCAUGGACAUCCCUACAACCCUGGUUGAGAAAGAGAACACUCCCAGCCUCUCAGAAGUAUUUUAGGUUCUCUUCCCAUCUCAGAUCCUCUUCUAUCAUCACCACCACACCCUAAGGUAACCACUACUCUCAAUUUUGUCUUAAUCAUGUCUUAGAUUUUCUCUAUAAUUUUGUCUAUAAAUGGAUCCCUAAACAAACAUUAUUUUACUUACCUCAAUGACAUUUUUAUAAAUAGAAUCAAACUCUAGUGCUUCUAUGGCUGCCUUCUUUCCCUCAACACUGAUUGGGAAAUUCAUCCUAGCUAACAUAUAUAGUAGUAAUAGACUAAUUUUCACUUCUUACUAGUGUUCCGCUCUACAAGUUUAACACAAUUUCUUUAUCCAUUACACUAUACAUAGGCAUUUUAGCUAACUCCAUCAUUCUCUGCUACUAUAGGAAAUGAUGAAAAUUUUUGUACCUGCUUUUUGAUAUACAUAGAAAAAAAUGUCUUUAGAGUAUACUUUGGAAAUUGAACAGUUGGGUCAGUCUAUGCAUGUGUGUUCACCUUCACUAGACAAUUCCACACAGUUCUCCAGAGUGGUUGUA
rnacentral:lncRNA from 1 species